UCGGGGAUCGUUCAACUGGCAGGACAUCGGGUUUUGGUCCCGACAAUGGAGGUUCGAGCCCUCCUCCCCGAGCGA
rnacentral:tRNA from 1 species